rnacentral:lncRNA from 1 species
GUUUACUUUACACUACCCCUCAAAAUUUUCUUGGCUACGCCUAUGAUAUAUGGAUCGGUACCAUCGGAUCGAAGCGCCGAUCGUUGAUCAGUCUGGGUUCUACGACUGAACGAACAACAUAGCUUUGAAUUUUAAGGUGGCAUCUGAGUUUAAAUAAAGAACACGUGGAAGCAAAUAAAUUAAUAUAUCCAAAGGAAUAUAACAUCAAUAUAAGCCACAGCAACAUUGGAAGUCUUGAGUAAAUACCAAAAAGGAAAUAGCAACAAAUUUAAAUAUGUUUCAACCAGUAAUGCCGGUCAUUAUAAAACUCAGAUAGCCACCUUAAUUAUGGGACCAUCUCCUACUUUGGAGUACCCAAUUUUGCAUUGUUUUUGAAAGA